GCCGGGAUGGUGGAAUUGGCAGACACAGCGGACUUAAAAUCCGCUGCCCCACAAGGGCGUGAGGGUUCAAGUCCCUCUCUCGGCA
rnacentral:tRNA from 1 species